GACGAACGCUGGCGGCGUGCUUAACACAUGCAAGUCGAACGAAGUGGCGAACGGGUGAGUAAUACGUGGGUAACCUGCCCUCCUUUUUGGGAUAAGCCUUGGAAACGGGGUCUAAUACCGAAUAAAGGGGGAGGGGCUCGCGGCCUAUCAGCUUGUUGGUGGGGUGAUGGCCUACCAAGGCGGUGACGGGUCGCCGGCCGGAGAGGGUGACCGGCAACAUUGGGACUGAGAUACGGCCCAGACUGCUACGGGAGGCAGCAGUGGGGGAUAUUGCACAAUGGGUGAAAGCCUGAUGCAGCGACGCCGCGUGGGGGAUGAAGGCUUUGGGGUUGUAAACCUCUUUCGUUAUUGAACGGUAAGUUGGUCAAGAAGCGCCGGCGAAGUAUGUGCCAGACGGAGCGUUAAUAC
rnacentral:rRNA from 1 species